GGUUGAUCCUGCCAGUAGCAUACGCUUGUCUCAAAGAUUAAGCCAUGCAUGUCUAAGUAUAAACAAGUCUAUACUGUGAAACUGCGAAUGGCUCAUUAAAUCAGUUAUAAUUUAUUUGAUAAUCUCUUUACUACUUGGAUAACCGUGGUAAUUCUAGAGCUAAUACAUGCGAAAAACCCGACUCUUUGGGGAAGGGUUGUAUUUAUUAGAUAAAAACCGACUUUACAUUUGGUGAUUCAUAAUAACUUUGCGGAUCGUAUGGCCUUGUGCCGACGACAUUUCAUUCAA
rnacentral:rRNA from 1 species